AUGGCCAUUCGGGAGCGACUCGCAUUCCUCCUGACCUCCGGCGGGUUUCUGCCAAGCCAGCGAAGCUGUAAUUACUGGGGUGGAGGCACUACUGCAAACUCUUUUUCCGGAAAUCUGGGAAUAUCUUACCCACUUAACUGUACUUUGCUCAACACAACAAAAACAACAACUCCGGAGGAAAAUAACAAGCGGAAUGAGUGCCAUGUGUUUCGGAGGAGAUCGCGAUGUUCAGCCGCGAUUAUUUAGAACUCAACACGCACACCACAAACACAUGGAAGAGAUCUGCGCAAAGAAAUAUCAAAGAGAAACCGGCCAGGCUGUGCUAUUUUAAACAUUUCAAACCUCGGGCUGGUUCAGUCCUCUCCUAUAAAGAACGUCAACCGGUCUGGAGAAGUGGUUGGGUCAUUUAGACGCCGUAUGUGAUGUAUUUCUGGUGAAUGGAAACAGAUGAAAGCACCAGGGUAAAACAUAGCUCUCAUAGCAGCGCUGGAUGGUAAAAUAAUGCCUUCCAUUCAAGUUGGAAUUUCCUACUAGUAUCUGGAGAGGACAAAAGCUGAAACAAAUCCAGCAUUAAGACGUUUUUAACUCAAAUACAUAGAGUCUAUAAUCCAUAAUAACACUUCCUCCAGUGAAAAAGUGCAUCUGCUGUUGUCUCUCACAUCAAAAUCCAGACACAUAUUUGUUUAGAGCUGUUUAAACGCUGCUUGAUCUGUGCAGAUUUCUCUCCUGAUUCACACCAGAACACUUUUUCACUGGAGGAAGUGUUAUUAUGGAUUAUAGACUCUAUGUAUUUGAGUUAAAAACGUCUUAAUGCUGGAUUUGUUUCAUCUUUUGUCUUCUCCAGAUGUUCACUGAUGGACUGGAGUGCUGUGGAUUACUUGUGGAUUAUUGUGAUGUUUUUAUCAGCUGUUUGGACUCUCAUUCUGACGGCACCCAUUCACUGCAGAGCAUCCAUUGAUGAGACACUGAUGCAGUGCUACAUUUCUACAAACCUGAUGAAGAAACAAACUCAUCCUAAUCUCAGAUGGCCUGAGCGUGAGCACAUUUUGAGCAUAUUUGCAUUUUCGGCUGAACUAUUGCUUUAACCAAUAGUUUCAGCCGGUCAGUGGGGCGUUUCCUCAUACGGAUGUUCUGAUUGGUUCAGUCACACGGAGGCCGUGAGCGGCGGUGUUGCUGUGGUGAUAUUGUGUGAGAGAGAACAGGGCCCUCUUUUAUAGACUCAAGUGUGUGUGUGUGUGUGUGUGUGUGUCAGUGAGUUUACAUUGCCUGGCUGCCAUCAACCCACAGCGCGGAUCUCGGAAAAUUACUGGCUCAUGGCUUUAUAAACACAGCGACUGAGGGUGACCUCGAGACAAACACACUGUACAGCACAAGAACUCAAUGAAGCUAUUUUAGAGUACAUGCAGAUCAGACACACAAAAACACCAGAAAUCUCUCAAAAUCACACAGACUCGCAGGUAAACAACAGCUCUGAUUAAAACUACUGACUUUUCAUUAAAGAACUGUAUGCUGAAAUAAAAUAUUGGAAGAAAAAAAAAACUAAACUUAA
ensembl:lncRNA